rnacentral:tRNA from 2 species
GCGGAAGUGGCGAAAUUGGUAGACGCACCAGAUUUAGGUUCUGACGCCGCAAGGUGUAAGAGUUCAAGUCUCUUCUUCCGCACCA